UCAUGUCAGUGUUCGCUAGGAUGGUCUUGAAACUGGAAUGGUACAGAGAAGAUUAGAAUGGUCUCUGCACAAGGAUGACACCCAAAUUUGGGAGGGCAUUCAUGUUUUU
ensembl:snRNA U6 U6 spliceosomal RNA